rnacentral:snRNA from 1 species
UACCCGAAAUCGAGUGUUUCUGGAACAAUACAGAGAAAAUUAGCAUGGCCCCUGCGCAAGGAUGACACGCAAAUUUGUGAAGUGUUCCAUAUUAAA